rnacentral:rRNA from 1 species
UACGUAGGGGGCUAGCGUUGUCCGGAAUUAUUGGGCGUAAAGAGCUCGUAGGCGGCUUGUUGCGUCGACCGUGAAAACCCGGGGCUCAACUUCGGGCUUGCGGUCGAUACGGGCGGGCUAGAGUUCGGUAGGGGAGACUGGAAUUCCUGGUGUAGCGGUGAAAUGCGCAGAUAUCAGGAGGAACACCGGUGGCGAAGGCGGGUCUCUGGGCCGAUACUGACGCUGAGGAGCGAAAGCGUGGGGAGCGAACAGG